AAGGGUUUCAGGUGUAUACUUAUUCCAUCACUAAAAAUCUAUUGGAUGGCCAUUGUACCUUGUGGAAGCACAUCUGUUGCUCAAUGGGGUAUUCGACCUCAGUUUAUGCUUAGAUCCUAUAUGCAAAAUAGGAUAGUAACCUCUCAAUAUGGGUGAGCUAUCUAUUUAACCCCAAUCUUUUUUUCUCCUGUAUAGUUAGACUAUAUUUUUUUGUGUGUAGAGGAACUGAAAGUCCAGAAUCGGUUAGUUUGAUGGAACUUUUUCUGUCAUUGAUGUUGUGCCAUAACCAGGUCCUUAAUUGAAGGCAUUCUGACAUUAUAGUGAAUUUCUUGCCUUUUGGGUACCUUUAAUAAUGUAAAGGUUAUCUGUUGAGAAUUCACUCUAAUUUGAGGACUCCAACAUUUAUAAGAAUAUUUAUACUACUAAACUGACCCAUCUCUAAAUUGCCCUUUUAUGUUCAUUUCAUUACAAAUAUGGCUCUUCAGGUCCUAAAAUCCACAAAUAGUUGAACUAACCCAAAUAGAUUUUAUGUUCAAAGAAAUUAAAUUUUAUCAGAGCAUGUCUUAUAGUGCUAUUUUCAAAAUGAAGAGAGUUGCUAGAAACCUGUACAGUUUUUUGCUGUUCUCUAAAAUUAUAAAUUACAAUGAGAAAAGAAGGUAGAAAUUGGAGGUCCUUGCACAAACAGAAUAUGAGAAUCAAGAAAAACACAUGUUAACUAUGAAGAAGGUUUCUUGGUCGUGGUGUGACUUGUUUACCUACUGAAGCUGUGAUCAAUGAGCACAGAGCACCUGCUGUUUCUUGUUGAUAAAACCUUGUGACUCUUCGUACAUGAUUAACUACAUUCACAUGCUCUUCUUGUUUAGUUUGUCAUGUAACUGGAAGCUCAGUUUGGUUGUCCAUCUUUCAACAGUUCUUUUAGUUUUUAAAUUACUCAUUUGGUGGUUAAGGAGUUUCUAUUUUGUGUUCUGCCUCGACAUCAAAUAUUAGUGAUUGUUGUGAUUGGUACUGUGAUUUUUGUGCCAUAUAGUGCACCAGAUUAGCUUUUUAAGACAUGGAAUUUUCAUUAUGUAAUAUCGAUACAAUAUUGGAAGAAGACUCAAUUAGUAUACCUAGGAAUUAUUCAUUGUAAAAUUAGAAAGUUUAUAUUUUUAGUUUUAGAAUUUGUUAUUUAAUAAUUCUAUUAGGUCUAUAAUUUCCUAGUUAGGAUUGGAUUUUAUUCUUAGUUUGUUUUGUUUUGGAUCCCUAAUUAGUAUUUGAUUAGGGUUAUUUAAGUCUAAUAGUAGUAGGAUUGUUAGUCUAUAAAUACCUAUAAAAUUUGGCUAUUUUCUCAGUUUUGAUCGUGAUUAUUAUUGAGAAUAAAUAGAGUUUAUUUGAGAAUUCAUUUCUCCCCCUAUUUGAGAAUGUGUUUCUCUAAUUUCAUUUUAUUUUCUUGAGAAUUUGUUUCUCUUGAUACUCUUCUUCUCCUGGUCCUACAUCACUCAGACUCAGCUUCCUCCUGAUUUUCACUUGCAACUUUAUAUGGAGGCAUCACCUAUGAUAAAAGAGAGUCGGUGGCUCACUGAUGGUAAAAGAUCAGUCGGGUAACUAGAUUCUGCUGUUGGCUAAUUCUAUGUUGGAUCAACAUGGGCUGCUCAGGACAAUACCUCAACAGCCAUGGUAUGCUAUUUUACACAGUUCUGUUUAUUGUCUUUUUCUGCUGCUGCUGCUAUUACAAUUGCUGUUAUUGCAUUCUUGUGAUGUAGAGUAGGAUAGUUUUACAUCUGCCUUGAAAUUUCUCAGCUGUAGCUACUCAAAAAACCUUUGGAGACCAUGCUACCUCAGUGAAUUUAAAAUAUAUCAAUUAUACAUGGUAAUUGUCUGAGAAAAGGAGUUUAUGAAGACAAGAAAAACAUGUAGGCCAGAAGAAUUGUGAUUGAAGUUUGGAAGUGCUUAGGAGAGAUGGGAGUAGUAGGUUGACUUUUCAAGAAUAUAUUAAGAGGAUUCCCCACAAAGGGGAAGAAGCACCAUACAACAGUUACCAAAUUCAUAAGUCAAACUAUCAAACUCUUUGAUAGAGUGAUUGAGCAUAGAUUGAGGUAUAACAUAAUCUGUAUAUAUUCUAUAUGGGGAGUGAAUACAUGACUGUGAAAUACAUGUUUAUAAAAUGAGCAUGGCUAAUUCUUCACAUGGUUGUGUGGCCCCAUUUAGAACAAGCUGAAGGAAGGUCUGUUAAUAUGAUUGGGUUGCAUCUGAAGUAGACUUGCAGAUGCACCGUUGCAGGUGUUGUUGAAACUAUAUCUUAUGUACAAGGUACAGAGCCCCAAGGAUGAUAUACUUCUGAACUCUUUUGUAAUGUGCAGCCAUAAAGUACAGAUGUUGUGUGUGCCAUCGGGUUUGAGAUGAUUUUUAAUAUAUUUCUAGUUUGAUGGUGAACUGCACUCUGCCCAGUUGUUUCCUUGUAUGGUUAUAGUGACUGAAUAAUCAUGGUUCGAUUUUGUUCUGUGCUUCACUACAUGGUUUUCGUAUAUUAGUUGUGCCUGAUAUGGACACUGGUCAUUGUGCAAAUGUUGUCUUGCGACGAAAAUAGUUGCCCUGCUACAUUCUUUCUUCAGUAACCUCCCACAGGAAUGGCUAGAAGGGAUUCGUGUAAUUAUUAAACAUCUCAGGCCGAUAACAUCAGUUGAGGAUAGCAUUCCGUAUAAUGGGUCCACUGCUCCCACGACUUGCUAAUGCUCAUGCUCUUUUCAAUAAGACCCUCUUAUUGCUUUUAAACACAAUGGCUGAUGUAUUUGGGAGGAAUUCACAGCCAUCAACUCCUGUUGAAGCAUCAGAAAUAGCAGAUCUUAUCGACUUCCUUCAUCAUGUUGUCCAUUAUGAAGGGCAGGGAGGGCCUGUCCAGGCUAACAGCAAGCCUAGACCAGAGGUCCUGGCUCAAUGCGGGAGAGCAGCAGAAAGUCUACGUCCAGAUAUACAGCAUCUUCUUUCCCACCUGAAACCAGAUAUGACCUCUUCUAUAUAUGCUGCUACUCAUCCGAAACUGGUCCAGAAUCCCUCAUGAUCAUUGGGUUAAAUUUGCAUUACUCAAGCCUGAUAGUGAGAUAGAAGUGCACUUUGAACUCAAAUUAUAUUUGAUUUAACAACUUCUUACCAUAGGAAUGUAGCAAAAGAGCCGCAAAAGGAUCAGAACUUACUAAACUGCUUGCAGCUGUAACGAUAAGGGAGAAUGCAUUUUACUUUCAAGUUUAGUAUGCCACUCACCUCAUCCCUCUCAGAGCAGGAAGAUCUACAGCAGCACCAUUAGCAAUAGAAGAUGUAUAAGCUUAUCCUAAGUUGAAAGGUUAAUAAUUACUACUAUUUGUAAAUAUGGUUCUUUGCAUAUGAAGUUUUGGUGGGAUUGUUGAAUCAAGAAUAUCUAUAUCUACCUGUAUAAUAUAUAUCUACUUCUAUAUAAAUAUAAUAAAGUUGGUCUUAAAAUAAA
rnacentral:misc_RNA from 1 species